CCUCCUCCGAAACCCUAGCCGCCACCAUUCGCUCCUCCCUAGCCAACACCGACGCCGCUGCCUCCUCCUCCUCACGCCCUCCUCACCCCCUUACGCCACGCCGCCGCAUACUCUCUCGCACCUCCCUCUCGCCACCGCGGGGCCGGUUCCGGUGUAGGGGAGGCCGUGGCCACCGGAUCCGGCAUCCACGACCUCCCCGCCGGCGGAUCUAGCCACCCGAAGGCGUGGGCUGGUCUAGUAUAAGAGGCUCAUCGGUAGUGUCGAUGGUGGUCCUUUCUCCAUAGCAGCGAGCUCCAUGGGGAAAGACUUUGCUCCUUCAUUUUCUUCUUCCCUCCUACCCCACUCCGGCGCGUCACCUACUCUCCUCGCGCCGCUGCCCCCUAUUCUCCUCACAGUCACAGCACCGCCGAUGCCUCUUCUCGCACCCAAUCGCAUCGCCUUACCUCCAUGUUGCUACCGCGGGGCCAGAUCCGCCGGUGGGAAGGUCAUGCCCGCCGGAUCCGUCAGCCAUGACCUCCCUGCCGGCGUAUUCGGUCGCUCGGAGGCGAGGGCUAUCACGGGAGGCACAUCGGCAACAUCGACGACGGUCGUCUCUCCAUGGCAGCGCACUCCACAGGGAAAGGCUCUGCUCUCCCACCCUCUUCUUUAUUCUCACUCUCCCUCUCACCGUGAUCCAGAUCCAUAGCUGGGUGGGGAAGUUGAAUAUGAUCUAGAGCUGGUGGGGAACUCGUGCAACCCCCUUCACUGCCGGUCCAUCCCAUCCCAUGUGCGGCUGCGCGAGGCGAAGAUAAGCGAAGAUGCCGAGAUCGCGGCAUUGGCCACGGUCCGUUUGCAGCUUGAUCUAUCUUGAUUGAUUAUUUUGGUUCAUCCGGUUGUUGUCUGCUUGCCAGGAUAUGGUGGUUGUCUCUUUGUGGAUGGGACAUGAUGGAUCUAGGGAUUAUGGACAAGGUUGAGUACAACUACUUCUUGGACAUCUCUAAAAUACAGGCCCGCUCGUCCCUAUGCACCACCUACUAUUGAUCUCUGCAGAUUACAGGAUCCCAAUAUCUGAAACCACAUAUUAUAUCAUAUCUUUCAGUGUCUGAGUAUCUGAGACCACCUAUUAUGCUGGAUCUUUCAGUGUAUGGAAUUCUAGCCAGUGUGCUUUUCUCUCUUUGUUGCAAUUAGCGAUGACCUGAUUGGGAGAAGUAGGUAAAGCUGUGCUGGCUUUGACAUAUAGUAGCGACUCUUGCUGCAUCAAACAAGUGCAUCAUCAUAAUAUGGAUAUCCAGGGAGGCCUGCUGGACAAUCAAUGCUGUUGUGGUGGUGAAAGUAUUAUGCAUAACACUCCUUAUUUUGCUAUCAAAAUGUUAAUCAGAAUUCAAAGUUCGGUCUCCAUCAAAGUGAUGUUUAAUAUUUAUGACAUAUAUUACAGAUGCUUGGGCAUGAUGUGCUGUAAAUUUAGAGGGGUAAGUCCGUGCUAUCAAAACGGAACAUCCAAUAGAUUUUUGGUUCCAAAUACUCAGACUGUAUGUACUUUUUCAUAAUCUGAACAUAUUGAGUGUUUUUUUUACUUUGUGGCCAUCUGUCCUAUCAUUUUGUUGUAGGCCGCAAAAAUGGAGAACUUCUCCUUCACUUGAAUUUCUCUAUUCCAAACUUGAAUACUUAGUUUAAUUGUUCACUUUUGUUUAAUAAAUAUCUUGUCCUUUUUGGUUAGAUCUUAGAUUACACCGUUUAAGAUCUAAUUCAUUUACUAGCAGUGUACAUACUACAUUUUAUUCAUUCUGUGCUUGUAAUACAGUUCAAAUAUAGGACUGAAGUUCUGGUUUUAGUGCUCCUCUUAUCCAUUUACUAGCAGUGUACAUGCUACAUUUUAUUCAUUCUAUGCUGGUAAUACAGUUGAAAUAUAGGACUGAAGAUAUGGUUUUAGCGUUUUGUGUCAAUCUUUUAUGUUUGACUAAUACGGUGAGUAACUCAUUUUUUGAAGCAAUUAAGUUGGGGCUAAAAUAGUUCUUAGAUGCAUUAGCACCUAACUGUUGCCUGUCAGUUUGAUCUAAAGUGCUCCUCUUAUCCAUUUACUAGCAGUGUACAUACUACAUUUUAUUUGUUCUAUGCUGGUAAUACAGUUGAAAGAUAGGACUGAAGUUCUGGUUUUAGUGUUUUGUGUAAAUCUUUUAUGUUCGAAUAAUACAGUGAGUGACUAAUUUUUUGAAGCAAUUAAGUUGGGGCUAAAAUAGUUCUUAGAUGCAUUAGCACCUAACUGUUGUCUGUCAGUUUGAUCUAAAUGUUUUCACUCCACAUCAACAUGGUGGUAUAGCUGCCCACUCUGGUCCUGGGAAUGGAUGGUGAGUUCAUCUAACAGUACAAUUGCAGAGGUGCAUGCAGGGCCAGCCGACGAGUGGUCCAGCUGCGUAUGUUUGAUGCAAAGUAUUUAGCGGUGUUAAAUCUGAUUCUUGAAGUUGGCAGAGGCACUAAUCAUGUUUGCCACUCUUCCAAAUGUGAUACUGCACUUCCAUUUAAAAAUUUAAUCGGACCCUUCCAUCUAGAAAAAAAAAAUGAUGCUGCACUCUUGAUAAAAAAAUCUCUUCAGGUUUGCUUUGUAUAUGUUUAGAUCCUUCAUGAUUUCAGAUCAUUGACUGUUUUUGGUGCAAUUAAUACAAUUCCUUCUAAAUUUGCAUGGAAAUAUAGAAAAGUAAUUGGAACAGAAGUUCACAGCUAAAUUUCUUUUGGCUAAACCUGGUGAUGACUGAUUAUUACUAUUUUGUUAGCUCAUCAUGUAGUGUGAUAUUUGAAACUGUUCAAUAAUUUCCUAGGUAGUCUAUCUAUUUUCAUCCUUUGCUGAACAAUAUUUUCAUUGGUACCAGCUAUGUGUUUGUGGAAUUGCUUCCUUGGCAGCAGCUGUGGAAGAGUAAGAAAGGAGAGGGAGUUCAGGGCAGAGCUGCCUCUAUCCACCGCAGCGGUACUUCCAGCAAAUCAUGGACCAGCGGUUGGUUUCACGUUGUGCCUCCACACUUGCACGUCCACCUUCAAAUCCAAGAAGGCCUCCACAAUUGACAAGGACAAAGAGCAGCCUGAAGAAAAGGGAACAAUGGCAAUCUGCAAAAGAUUUAUAGCCCUUCAUCUGGAACCUAUGUUCCCCCCCCCCCCCCAAACUAUUGAGUACUAUUUUUUACCUCGGCCUCCCUUAAUUCAAGCUGUAGGAAUUGGUGGAAGCACAGUUGGUUUGUUUCUGCUCAUCAUCAUUUUAGGUGCUCAACAAUAGGCAACCAACUUGCGGUGUUACCAUGAAGCUUCAGUUGAUGUUGAGUGUUGUCCUGCAGGUUGUAACCAAAUUAUGACUAGCUUGUACCUUGUAGUUUCAUCAUAUUCCUUUAAACAUACUGAUAGUAUCUGCUCACAAAAAUAUUGUGCUUGCAAUGAAUUAAGUGUUAAAAUCACAUACCUAUAAUCUAUGUAAAAGAUGCACAACACCAAUAGUUUAACGAUAGAUUGACAUUUACAA